GGAUUCAUUUACGCCCUUACCAACUGGAAGGAGUCAACUGGCUAGCUGAGUGCUUCCACUGUCGAAAUGGCUGCAUCCUGGGAGAUGAGAUGGGUCUGGGUAAGACCUGCCAGACGAUUGCUCUUUUUAUCUACUUGGCAGGAAGAUUAAGUGAUGAAGGACCCUUUCUGAUUCUUUGUCCCUUGUCUGUUUUGAGCAACUGGAAGGAAGAGAUGGAGAGAUGUGCUCCAGGCCUUUCCUGUGUAACAUAUGCAGGCGACAAAGAGGAGAGGGCCCACCUUCAGCAACACCUAAACCAGGACUCACGUUUUCAUGUGCUGCUGACUACUUACGAGAUUUGCUUGAAAGAUUCAUCAUUUCUGAAAUCCUUCUCUUGGAGUGUUCUUGUUGUGGAUGAAGCUCACAGAUUGAAAAAUCAAAGCUCUCUGCUACAUAAGACUCUUUCAGAGUUCUCAGUGGUCUUCAGUCUCCUGUUGACUGGAACUCCCAUACAGAACAGCCUCCAAGAGCUCUACUCCCUCCUCAGUUUUGUGGAGCCUGAUCUGUUUUCUAAGGAGCAGGUGGAAGAUUUUGUUCAGCGUUAUCAGGAUAUUGAGAAAGAAUCCAAGUCAGCAAGUGAACUGCACAGACUCUUGCAGCCAUUUCUGUUGAGGCGAGUGAAAGCGGAAGUAGCUACAGAGCUUCCCAAGAAGACAGAAGUGGUGAUAUACCAUGGGAUGUCAGCAUUGCAGAAAAAAUACUACAAGGCCAUUUUGAUGAAAGACCUAGAUGCAUUUGAAAAUGAGAUGGCAAAGAAAGUUAAACUUCAGAACAUCUUGUCCCAGCUUCGAAAAUGUGUGGAUCACCCGUAUUUGUUUGAUGGUGUAGAGCCAGAACCUUUUGAAGUUGGAGACCACCUGAUUGAAGCGAGUGGGAAACUUUACCUGCUAGAUAAGCUGUUGGCUUUCCUGUAUUCUAGGGGCCAUCGGGUUUUACUUUUCUCCCAGAUGACCCAGAUGUUGGAUAUUCUUCAAGACUAUAUGGAUUACAGAGGUUAUAGCUAUGAGCGUGUGGAUGGCUCUGUGAGAGGAGAAGAAAGGCACUUGGCCAUCAAGAACUUCGGAGAGCAGCCCAUUUUUGUUUUUCUCCUGAGUACCAGAGCAGGUGGAGUUGGCAUGAACUUAACGGCCGCCGAUACUGUUAUUUUUAUUGACAGUGAUUUUAAUCCUCAGAAUGACUUGCAGGCAGCUGCCAGGGCUCACCGAAUUGGCCAGAACAAGUCUGUUAAAGUUAUUCGGUUGAUUGGCCGAGACACUGUGGAAGAAAUAGUCCAUAGGAAAGCAGCCUCCAAGCUUCAGCUCACCAACAUGAUCAUAGAAGGUGGCCACUUUACUCUGGGAGCCCAGAAGCCUUCAGGCGAUGCUGACCUCCAGUUGAGUGAGAUACUCAAAUUCGGCUUGGAUAAACUGCUGUCCUCCGAGGGGAGCACCAUGGAUGAAAUCGACCUGGAGUCCAUCCUGGGAGAAACCAAAGAUGGCCAGUGGGUCUCUGAUGCUUUGCCCACAGCAGGAGAGGGGAGCGGAGAGCAAGAGGAAGGAAAAAACCACAUGUACUUAUUUGAAGGUAAAGACUAUUCUAAAGAGCCCUCUAAGGAAGACAGAAGAUCAUUUGAACAACUAGUGAAUCUUCAGAAAACCCUUUUGGAGAAAACAAGUCAAGAGGGCCGGUCACUCCGAAAUAAAGGCAGUGUUCUUGUCUCAGGCCUUGUGGAGGGUUCUAGCAAAAGGAAGCAGAUUCUGAGCCCUGGAGAACUGGAAGAUAGAUGGAAGAAAAGACAAGAAGCAGCAGCCAAGAGGAAGAGACUGGCAGAGGAGAAGAGGAGGCAGAAGGAAGAGGCUGAACAUAAGAAAAAGAUGGCCUGGUGGGAGUCCCACAAUUACCAGUCUUUCUGCCUGCCCUCCGAGGAGAGCGAGCCAGAGGACCUUGAUGGGGGCGAGGAAGAGAGUGCCGCUGAGCUGGAUUACAAAGACCACGACUCAGCCUCCAUCCAGUAUGUCAGCGGUGAUGUCACCCACCCACAGGCCGGGGAGGAGGAUGCUUUCAUCGUGCACUGCGUAGAUGAUUCUGGCCACUGGGGGAGAGGUGGUUUAUUCACAGCUCUGGAAACACGAUCAGCUGAACCAAGAAAAAUAUAUGAGCUGGCUGGAAAAAUGAAAGACUUAAGUUUGGGAGCUGUCCUUUUAUUUCCCAUUGAUGAUAAACAGUCAAGAAACAAAGGGCAAGAUUUGUUGGCGUUGAUUGUGGCUCAGCACCGGGAUCGUGCCAACGUCUUGUCUGGCGUUAAGAUGACAGCCCUAGAAGAGGGCCUGAAGAAGAUAUUUUUAGCAGCAAAAAAAAAGAAAGUUUUCUUCCUCACCACCAGACUUUCUUUGCAGAGGAAAGACUUAUCUAGACUGAAGAGAUACGAGGGUAAUAGAACAGGGUGGCUCUGGGAAAAGGAAGCACCUUCAGAAGACUGGACUCAGUAAGCUGCCAAACUCUUCAAGUCAAGGUUUGCAAGCAAUUCAACAUUGUAUUGCCUAAUCCCAGGGGCCAAGGAGGGAGCAGUGUACAUCUGUAAAUGGAAUGAGUGCCAUUUCUUCCUUCUACCCAAACUAAAGCUGUGGUCAAGGGCACUGCAUUCAGCAUGGGUGUCAGAGGCUCAUCCCAGCAGAGUUGACAGCUUGGUACAAGACAGCAUCAACAGUAGCCAUGUGAACAUGUUCCUUCUUGUAAAAGAAUGGCUAAAAGGUCAAUUUUUAUUUCUAUAAAACAAGGCAAUCAAAACAAUAUAAAACACAUUGAAAGGUAUUACUGAGUGAGCUUCAAGUGGAGUUGAUUCUGCAAAGACUGAGUCCAAAGGGAAAAGGAAGGUGUCUUAUUCCUGGGCUGGGCUGCUCAGAAGGAAGAGGCCAGCAGGGGCCCCAUCAACCCCAGACUGAUGCCACAUGUGAAGCUGAGUCCAGCCAAUUCCAGUCCCACAAAGGGUCAAACCGUGCCAAGGGAGGGCUGCGGUGGAGCUGCUGCGGAGAGGAACCACAGAGCCCAGUGGCACAUUCUGAUGGAGAUCUGGAUGGAGGAGCUUGGACUUGGAAAUGGAUAUUCUGGCUUCUGCUCUUCCUGCACCGACCAGUGGAUCUUCUAACAUGGCUGCAGAGAGGGGUGCUGAAUCUUGGCCUCAGGAGCCUUUCUGGUGAGACGUUCAUCGUCAUCAUCAUCCUCAUCUCUCAAGUGUAGUGUCCUCAGCUGGCAAGCCGUCCCGCCAGAGCGCGCUUCCCCUACACAGGCCAGGUGAGGCUGCAAUGCAGUCAGGUACACGCAGACGUUGGAGCUUGCCCACUUACUCCUCACUGCUGCAGAAACGUGGAUCAGAUUUUCACAGAAGAGCUGGGCCUACCUUUGCAGGGCCUUUCUUUUCAUUUUGUAUUUUUUUUGGCGGGUGGGGAGGACUUAUUUGAUUGUUUUGUAAUUUAUUAAAAGGGUGUUAUAGACUGGCACCAGGAGAAUUUGGACCAACUUCCAAGGAGGGCAGUGUGGCCUGGGAGAAUAACCACCAGAGCCAUUUCUUCUUUGCAGAAUGGGAUCUGGGUCAUAUGAAGUGAAUCUGCGAAAAACAAAUUGAAUGCAGAGUGGGAGUUGCAAGGGCACAGAAGGAAGAGGAACUAGAACCCUUAUUUUCUUUUUUUUUUAACUUUAUGGGUUAAAUACAAUUUGAAGAUUUUGGGUAAAUGUGGAUGAGAAAAGAAACAUGUUUUCAAAGUGAAUUAAAGCAGUGAUUUUUAUAACAAAGAAAGCAGAACUACAAUGUCUGAAAGUUUUAAUCCUUUCUUUACAAGUAACUAGAUCACUUUUGAUUAAGAAAAUUGUAGAAAGUUAGUAACUGCCACAAGUUAACGCCAGGCAGGCACAUGUCAAUUUUCCACAGAGUUGUGCUUUGCCGGAUCUCUCCUCACAUUUGCUGGAAUCAUUUGUGGUAGAUUUUAGUCCAUAAGUUGCUUUCCCCCAUAUUUCUUUGUAAACUCUUCAGCAUUCUUACAGAAUUUUUUAUGGUCCUUAGAGUAUUCUUCAGUUAGGUCAACCCGGAGAGGGUGCUUGGGCUGAGAGUCAGUCACCAAUGCUAUGAGGGACUGGAUUACUUGGUUGGUCUUGGUCUCUGGCUUCCAGGACUUAACACUAAUUAACAGCAGGCAAACCUGACCUUUUUCAUCAGUGUUUGGGUGAUCUUUGUUUUAAAUGUGAUCUUCAGUGACUUGAGUGGGUACUCUGCUGGAAAGUUGAUUUCAGUUCUAAAGGUCCUUUAUCACAUGGAGGGCUGUCAGGAGCAAUAAGCCCUUACCAAGUCAAUAAAUUGGCUUCAUCAACCUGGAUGUUAUGGAAGUUUUUCACUCCACGUUUGCAAUCUCCUCAAGCUCUUUCUUUAGCCUCCUGAAGGCCGCCAUCUUGUAUCUGGUACUGCUGCUUUCCCCUGUGUUUUGUCAAUCAACUAGUAAAAUUUCAGAUUUAAUGGGUUUCUUAGCACUGAGAACAGAAGAUUAGAGAAAUUACAAGAUAAGCUUAUU